CCCGCUGAACUUAAGCAUAUCAAUAAGCGGUGGAAAAGAAACCAACAGGGAUUACCUCAGUAACGGCGAGUGAAGCGGUAACAGCUCAAAUUUGAAAUCUGGCUCUUUCAGGGUCCGAGUUGUAAUUUGUAGAAGAUGCUUCGGGUGUGGCUCCGGUCUAAGUUCCUUGGAACAGGACGUCAUAGAGGGUGAGAAUCCCGUAUGUGAUCGGUUGCCCUUGCCAUGUGAAGCUCCUUCGACGAGUCGAGUUGUUUGGGAAUGCAGCUCUAAAUGGGAGGUAAAUUUCUUCUAAAGCUAAAUACUGGCCAGAGACCGAUAGCGCACAAGUAGAGUGAUCGAAAGAUGAAAAGCACUUUGGAAAGAGAGUCAAAAAGUACGUGAAAUUGUUGAAAGGGAAGCGCUUGCAACCAGACCUGCCUGCAGUUGCUCAUCCGGGCUCUUGCCCGGUGCACUCUUCUGCUGUCAGGCCAGCAUCAGUCCGGGCGGUCGGAUAAAGGCUUCGGGAAUGUAGCUCCUCUCGAGGAGUGUUAUAGCCCGUUGCGAAAUGCGGCCAGCCUGAACUGAGGUCCGCGCUUCGGCUAGGAUGCUGGCGUAAUGGUUGUAAGCGGCCCGUCUUGAAACACGG
rnacentral:rRNA from 1 species